AAAGGGGGCUUCGGCCCCUGAUUAAAGCGGCGGACGGGUGAGUAACACGUGGGUUAUCUGCCCUCGGGUGGGGAAUAACUCAGGGAAACCUGGGCUAAUUCCGCAUGAUAUCUCUUUCCUAUACGGGUUUGAGAUCAAAGCUGGGGACCCUUCGGGGCCUGGCGCCUGAGGAGGAGCCCGCGGCCAAUUAGCUUGUUGGUGAGGUAAUGGCUCACCAAGGCUACGAUUGGUAGCCGGCCUGAGAGGGCGGACGGCCACACUGGGACUGAGACACGGCCCAGACUCCUACGGGAGGCAGCAGUGGGGAAUUUUUGUCCAUGGGGGAAACCCUGAACAAGCAACGCCGCGUGAAGGACGACGACCUUCGGGUUGUAAACUUCUGUCGGAGGGGACGAAAGCGGUUGAGGUUAAUACCCUUGAUUGUUGACGGUACCUUACGAGGAAGCCCCGGCUAACUCCGUGCCAGCAGCCGCGGUAAUACGGGGGGGGCAAGCGUUGUUCGGAAUUACUGGGCGUAAAGGGCGCGCAGGCGGGCGAGACAGUCUCUCGUGAAAUCCCACGGCUCAACCGUGGAAUUGCGGGAGAUACUACUCGUCUUGAGUCCGGGAGAGGAGAGCGGAAUUCCCAGUGUAGCGGUGAAAUGCGUAGAUAUUGGGAGGAACACCAGUGGCGAAGGCGGCUCUCUGGACCGGUACUGACGCUGAGGCGCGAAAGCUAGGGGAGCAAACGGGAUUAGAUACCCCGGUAGUCCUAGCCGUAAACGUUGAGCACUUGGUGUAGCGGGUAUCGACCCCUGCUGUGCC
rnacentral:rRNA from 1 species